AGUGAACGCUGGCGGUAGGCCUAACACAUGCCAGUCGAACGGCAGCACAGUAAGAGCUUGCUCUUACGGGUGGCGAGUGGCGGACGGGUGAGGAAUACAUCGGAAUCUACUUUUUCGUGGGGGAUAACGUAGGGAAACUUACGCUAAUACCGCAUACGACCUACGGGUGAAAGCAGGGGAUCUUCGGACCUUGCGCGAUUGAAUGAGCCGAUGUCGGAUUAGCUAGUCGGCGGGGUAAAGGCCCACCAAGGCGACGAUCCGUAGCUGGUCUGAGAGGAUGAUCAGCCACACUGGAACUGAGACACGGUCCAGACUCCUACGGGAGGCAGCAGUGGGGAAUAUUGGACAAUGGGCGCAAGCCUGAUCCAGCCAUACCGCGUGGGUGAAGAAGGCCUUCGGGUUGUAAAGCCCUUUUGUUGGGAAAGAAAAGCAGCAGGUUAAUACCCCGCUGUUCUGACGGUACCCAAAGAAUAAGCACCGGCUAACUUCGUG
rnacentral:rRNA from 1 species